GUAGACUUUGAGGGAAGUCAUGUGAUCUUGUCCUCAGUGUGCAGUCUGCAAAGAGCCAGCCACAGCAAGGCUUCUAUGGAAUGGAAGGCUAAGGAGAUCACUGGCUGGACCACAAACUUUGCCAGGAUGCUGCCAUGUAAUGGAAUCGCUAUAGAUCAGGCCUCUCAACAGUCUGGUUCAAGCAAUGCACAAAGUGGGAAACUGGAUGAACAGCAAGGUGAAGGUGGAGACUGUGGAAAUAGAUGAAGAAAAGCAACCAGAUGAAUCAUGUGAUUCCAAUCUAAUGACUUCCACAGAUAGUUGAGUAAUGUCACCACCAGGCACAGAGGAAGGUUUGCAAGAAGCAGGAAUAGUGCUGCACUACUUACUGAUUCAUGUUUUUUAAGCAUCAGGAUUGUGGACUAAACACAGAACAAUUUUUUGGCAAACAAAAUCUGGAAUAUCUGGUGUACUGGCUUCUGAAGACUUACAACAAAAAACUACAACUAAUUUUCAGUGAAGUGUGCACAUCUGUAGGAUUUUUUUGCAUGUUGCUAGUGAGUGUGGCACAAACCGAAAGCAGUGGCAGCUAAUUGACACUCAUCAAAAACUGCAAAUGACCUACUAUGGCACAGAAACACUUAAGUCAUCUUGCUGUUUUGUCUGUGUGUGAACCUGUAAGAAAAUAUUACUUUAGGGAGGUCACUUAUGACUUUGCAAUGAAAAAGGCCAGAAAUGUGAAGUUAUAAGUGAUAAGGCCUGUCCAUGCCAUUUCAGAAAUAAAAUAUAUUUUUCUUUCAUUAAUUAAUGUGUCUGUGUGGGAUGGGAGGUUGUAUGUGCUAUGAGUUUGCCCUGGGCCCAGCAAAAUGUUUGCCUAGGCCCUGGCAUUUAUUGAAACGGAAAAGAAACUGAUGCAUUUGAAGGCCCGCAAGGUAUGAGAGCAAUUUUUUCUUUUUUUUAAAUUCAGAAAUAGAUUGCUGUGGUCCAGCUCCUGAGUGUGUUCACAUGAGGAAAGAGUUGGUCUCCAUGAUUUCUGGAUCAUUCACAUUCUUUUAUUUUGGUUGCAUAACCAAGCAGCUCAUACAAUGUUGUAUCAUGCUUUGUCCAAAACAACAAAUACAAUGAAUAAAUAAAAAACAGAGAGA